GACAUCUGAUACUUGAAUCAUAUGUCUGAUUAACAUUGUCUUAAAGGUUUGAAGCCUCUAUGAAUGCAAUGUUUAGUGAGAAUUUUUAUAUUUGAAGAUCCAUAUCCACAUAUGAUUGACAAUGUUGAAACACCUAGAAAAUAGGGAUCAAAAGAGUUUUUGAGAUUACCUGAUCCUUUGUUUGACUACAAUUUAAUAUUUAAUCCUUUGCACAA
rnacentral:lncRNA from 1 species